rnacentral:misc_RNA from 1 species
UCGCGGCUUAUCACCGGCAGUCCCCUUAGAGUGCCCAACUGAAUGAUGGCAACUAAGGGCGAGGGUUGCGCUCGUUGCGGGACUUAACCCAGCAUCUCACGACACGAGCUGACGACAGCCAUGCAGCACCUGUGUUCCCGCCAGCCGAACUGAAGGAUCCCAUCUCUGAAAUCCACACGGGACAUGUCAAGGGCUGGUAAGGUUCUGCGCGUUGCUUCGAAUUAAACCACAUGCUCCACCGCUUGUGCAGGCCCCCGUCAAUUUCUUUGAGUUUUAACCUUGCGGCCGUACUCCCCAGGCGGAUGACUUAAUGCGUUAGCUGCGCCACCGAAAGCCUAAGGCCCCCGACAGCUAGUCAUCAUCGUUUACGGCGUGGACUAC